AUUGAACGCUGGCGGCAGGCCUAACACAUGCAAGUCGAACGAACGGCGGACGGGUGAGUAAUGUCUUGGGAACUGCCCGAUAGAAGGGGAUAACUACUGGAACAGGUGUCUACUACCGCAUACUAUCGGAUGUACCCAGAUGGGAUUAGCUAGUAGGUGGGAGAAAGGCUCACCUAGGCUAAGAUCACUAGCUGGUCUGAGAGGAUGAUCAGACAAACGGGGAAUUAGACACGGCCCAGACUCCUACGUGAGGUAGCAGUGGGGAAUAUUGCACAAUGGGCGCAAGCCUGAUGCAGCCAUGCCGCGUGUAUGAAGAAGGCCUUAGGGGUGUAAAGUACUUUCAGCGGGGAGGCGUUACCCGCAGAAGAAGCACCGGCUAACUCCGUGCCAGCAGCCGCGGUAAUAC
rnacentral:rRNA from 1 species